rnacentral:rRNA from 1 species
UAACGCGUGAGGAACCUGCCUUUCAGAGGGGGACAACAGUUGGAAACGACUGCUAAUACCGCAUAAUAUAUUGUUGUCGCAUGGCAAUGAUAUCAAAGAUUUAUCGCUGAAAGAUGGCCUCGCGUCUGAUUAGCUAGUUGGUAGGGUAACGGCCUACCAAGGCGACGAUCAGUAGCCGGACUGAGAGGUUGGCCGGCCACAUUGGGACUGAGAUACGGCCCAGACUCCUACGGGAGGCAGCAG